UUAAAGAAACAUGUUUUUCCCUUGAGACAUGCUUUAAUUGGAUAUAGCAACAAGAAGAGGGUACAAAAAAUUUUGGACCAAAGUUCAUGAGAGACUAUCACACGACAAUUACAUACAAAAAGCUCUAAUAUAUUUUCCGAUGACUAAAAUUAGGAUUUAAUUAAUUCACUCAGGAAUGGUAACGAGCACAGGGCGCCAAGCCCUUCUCAGUAACAACGACUUGUAACGGAAACCGGUCCAGCCCGGUCUAGGUGAACCCGGCCCAACUCCAUCAAUUGCUUUACCCGCCACCACCAAACCGAACUCUUGCCGCGUAUCUAUCUCACUCUUCCUUUUGUCGUUCAAUUCAAAAGGCGGGGAAGACACAAAGAGGUCCUUGAGGCUGUGCCUCUGAACCGGAGCCGGAGCAUUCUGUGGCAGCGACUGAAUCGGCGGGUCUCGUCGGCGACUGCUGCUCCGGCUCAGGAGCAUUAGCAAGGUGGGUUUGCGGCGGCGGAGCUGGAUCAAUGGGCUCGAUAUUGGGCUUCGGGUUGGGCUUUGGGCCACGCCGCACUGCAUCGCGAGCAGCUUGAACUUCUGUAGCGUCCCCAUCUUUUGAGGUUUGUUGCUAACUGGCAUGAUUUCUAUAUAUACAUGCGGGGGAGUCUCUUGUUGUGGGUUUGUAGGGAAUUUGAAUUUAAAUGGGUGAAUGAUUGCCGGGUAGAGACAAUUGAUUGCUUCUGAAAUGGAAAAAAGGAUAUGUUGGGAAGUGGAUGCAUCUUUUUUAUACACUACUUAGACUAAUAGUGAUUGGGUCUCUCUCUUUUUCACAAUUUGAAAGGGAGGGUUUUGAGGGUUUUGGGAGGAAAAAGGGGGAGAGAGAGAGAGAAAGAGGUGCAUUUUCCAAGUAAAAUUCCAAAUGUGCUAAAUCCAAAAUCUAAAAUCUAUGGGGUUCUGAAAAAGAGGUACGUACACCUCAUUCUUUGACUGAAGACAAUUGAAAAGUCAGUUUUAGCCAUAACCAUUGAUGCCUGAAAAAUUAGUAAAGAAAAGAUGGAAGACUUGAUUGCCCAUUGAGGUGAGCCAGCCUGCAUUUCUUCUAGAUUCCAUUUUCUAGGUUGGAGUAUUAUGUACUCAGGAUUCUUGAGCAAUUAUGUUGUCAUUACCUCACCAUCACAAUGUGAUUAGCUUUUGACCUAAAAACCCUAACAAAAAAUUCCAAUUUUAAAAGAGUUUAUAUAAAAUGUUUAGUGAAAGAGUAGCUUUAAUCUAAUAUAAUAUAAAAAAUCUAGAACCUUCUUAUCGUUUCUUUCCGUUUUUCCGGGUAGAGGGGGUGCUAAACAAUAUCAGACAAUCCAAAACUUGGUUAAUAAAGAAUAUCAGAGGAAGCAGAGGCCAGAAGGAAAAGGACAACGGUAGAAGAUCUAAAUUGGCAUUCAUGAUCUGAAAUAUAAUUUAAAAUCUGAACAUUAACAACAUUAUCUCCAUUUAAUAUGUACUCAUCUAAUCAAAUCUGAAACACAUUCAUGUUCUGUAUUAUGAAACUUAAUAGAAUGGGGAAAAAUAUAUAUCAGGCACUGGCAUUAGGUGUAGUAGACCUAGUGCUAGGCCAUUUUUGGGUCACUGAAAUUGGUGAAGAUAGUAGUCUCUUGUUCUUCAGCAACCCAAUCUCAUCACGAUCUGGUGAAGGUGGUGGCUGUAUAUUCGUUUUCAUCCCGGCAUUAUCAAAUGCCGGCUUUAAAUUAUCUGGCACAUCGUUCCUGCUUUCAAUUGUCUUCAAAGCCUCCAAAACCUCACACAUGGUAGGCCUCAUGUCGUUGUCCAGCUGCAAACAUUGAAAAGCCAACCCUGCCACUGCAAUUACCAUCCUUCUAACUUCAUCAUCUGACUCAAAUCCGAGACGUUGAUCUACCAACUCAUUGAAUAAACCUUUCUGAAUCUUGCUUACGG